GACGAACGCUGGCGGCGUGCCUAAUACAUGCAAGUAGAACGCUGAAGGAGGAGCUUGCUCUUCUGGAUGAGUUGCGAACGGGUGAGUAACGCGUAGGUAACCUGCCUGGUAGCGGGGGAUAACUAUUGGAAACGAUAGCUAAUACCGCAUAACAGUAGAUGUUGCAUGACAUUUACUUAAAAGGUGCAAUUGCAUCACUACCAGAUGGACCUGCGGUGUAUUAGCUAGUUGGUGGGGUAACGGCUCACCAAGGCGACGAUACAUAGCCGACCUGAGAGGGGGAUCGGCCACACUGGGACUGAGACACGGCCCAGACGCCUACGGGAGGCAGCAGUAGGGAAUCUUCGGCAAUGGACGGAAGUCUGACCGAGCAACGCCGCGUGAGUGAAGAAGGUUUUCGGAUCGUAAAGCUCUGUUGUAAGAGAAGAACGAGUGUGAGAGUGGAAAGUUCACACUGUGACGGUAUCUUACCAGAAAGGGACGGCUAACUACGUG
rnacentral:rRNA from 1 species